AGAGACAGCAGUCGCCGCGGUAAUACGGAGGGUGCAAGCGUUAAUCGGAAUUACUGGGCGUAAAGCGCACGCAGGCGGUCUGACAAGUCAGAUGUGAAAUCCCCGGGCUUAACCUGGGAACUGCAUUUGAAACUGUCAGGCUGGAGUCUUGUAGAGGGGGGUAGAAUUCCAGGUGUAGCGGUGAAAUGCGUAGAGAUCUGGAGGAAUACCGGUGGCGAAGGCGGCCCCCUGGACAAAGACUGACGCUCAGGUGCGAAAGCGUGGGGAGCAAACAGGAUUAGAUACCCGUGUAGUCCCUGUCUCUUAUAC
rnacentral:rRNA from 1 species